rnacentral:rRNA from 1 species
GUGGGGAAUUUUGGACAAUGGGCGCAAGCCUGAUCCAGCAAUGCCGCGUGCAGGAAGAAGGCCUUCGGGUUGUAAACUGCUUUUGUCAGGGAAGAAAUCUUCUGGGCUAAUACCCCGGGAGGAUGACGGUACCUGAAGAAUAAGCACCGGCUAACUACGUGCCAGCAGCCGCGGUAAUACGUAGGGUGCGAGCGUUAAUCGGAAUUACUGGGCGUAAAGCGUGCGCAGGCGGCUUUGCAAGACAGAUGUGAAAUCCCCGGGCUCAACCUGGGAACUGCAUUUGUGACUGCAAGGCUAGAGUACGGCAGAGGGGGAUGGAAUUCCGCGUGUAGCAGUGAAAUGCGUAGAUAUGCGGAGGAACACCAAUGGCGAAGGCAAUCCCCUGGGCCUGUACUGACGCUCAUGCACGAAAGCGUGGGGAGCAAACAGGAUUAGAUACCCUGGUAGUCC